GACGAACGCUGGCGGCGUGCUUAACACAUGCAAGUCGAACGGAAAGGCCCUGCUUUUGUGGGGUGCUCGAGUGGCGAACGGGUGAGUAACACGUGAGUAACCUGCCCUUGACUUUGGGAUAACUUCAGGAAACUGGGGCUAAUACCGGAUAGGAGCUCCUGCUGCAUGGUGGGGGUUGGAAAGUUUCGGCGGUUGGGGAUGGACUCGCGGCUUAUCAGCUUGUUGGUGGGGUAGUGGCUUACCAAGGCUUUGACGGGUAGCCGGCCUGAGAGGGUGACCGGCGACUGAGGGCAGAGGAGACGGCGACGGCUGAGAGAGGAGGGAGCUGGGGGGAAGAUGGUACGAGGGGGGGAAGUCUGAUGCAGAGCCGCGGCGGGGGGUAUGACGGGCGUCGGGUUGUGAACGUGCGUCGGAUGAGCAGAAGCGUGGGUGAUGGUAGGGGACAAAAAAGCCCAGCCUAACUACGGCCCAGCGGCCGCUGAAAACGCCGGAAUAGAACACUUCUGACC
rnacentral:rRNA from 1 species